rnacentral:lncRNA from 1 species
UCAAAAUUCCACCUUUUUCACUACUUGAAAUCAAAUCAGCACAAAACCAUAGUCAAGACUCAUAAAGUGACUUUUAAAGCUCAAAAGGAUUAUCAAUUAGAAAGUGACAAAGUUGUGUUUCAAAAGAUUUUUUCAGAGUUGUCACUUAACAUUUAAUUUCGGUGUACCAAGUUACCAUUUAAAAAUAAUUUUUCUUUUAAAAUACAUUUGGACUCAAAAACAUAGUUUGCACUAGAAAUUCAAAGUAACGAGGUUUAUUUGAUGCAGAAAAAAGGUGUUAUGCAUUCCCCGAGUCUCAAAACUAGUACGGUUUCACACUUGAUCAAAUUGGCUUUCAAGAAUACUCAAAUUGAGGUGGAAACACACAAAUGCAAAAAUAAACACGAAAGAGGCUCGAGGUCAUCUCCGCCUAAUAAAAGGAAAAAAAGAGGAAAAAAAGAAAAAUAUACUAAAAGCUCUAAACUAUGCUUCCUCCAUGAUAUAACGUCAACCUUCGUUUACAUUCACUUUGAAGCAUACCCCGAAUAAAAUAUAUAUAUAAUUGACGGAGCAUUCCCCUAAAUAUGGGAAUGAUCUCUCACCUCGAAUAAAAAAUAAAAUAAAAAAGCUACAAUUUGCCUACCCAAGUGUGGUAUGUCCAAACAUGCUACUAGCGAAUAAAAGCUCAAAAACAAAAUAAAAGUAAUAAAACAUUUAAAGUCCAGUUUGUUCACAUGUUUAUGUGGUGCCCCUACAACUCCUUCAAACAACUCAUUUCUAUCAAUUAAGCAACACUCUAAAUUUACACGACACAGUCGAUCAAGUAGCACCACAAACUCAUGAAUAUCAAGAUACAGAUAAAACAAAUACAAUUAAUUUCUAGCGACAAAGCCAAAUGAUGUAAACGUGAUA